AGCGUCCCCGGGCGCGGGCGCGAGGAGGCCCGGGGUGGCGCGUGCGCAGCACGGCUCGGGGAGCGCGGGGAGGCCCGGAGCGCGCGUGCGCGCGCCUGUUCCCCGCCCCCACUCGGCCGAGACGGCGGCACAAUGGCGGCGCCCUUGCCCCCGCUGCGUCCCGUCACCCACCUGCUUUUUGACCUGGACGGCCUCCUUCUGGAUACUGAACGGCUGUACUCAGUGGUGUUUGAGGCAGUCUGCGGUCGCUAUGGGAAGAAAUACAGCUGGGAUGUGAAGUCCCUCGUUAUGGGCAAGACGGCGUUGGAGGCGGCCCAGAUCAUCGUAGACACCCUGCAGCUCCCGACGUCCAAGGAGGAGCUGGUGGAAGCCAGCCAGGCGAAGCUGAAGGAGGUGUUCCCCAGCGCCGCGCUCAUGCCAGGCGUGGAGAAGCUGAUCCGCCACCUGCGGAAGCACGGUGUGCCCUGUGCCGUGGCCACCAGCUCAGGGACCGCGUCCUUCCAGAUGAAGACCAGCAGGCACGAGGGCUUCUUCAGCUUGUUCCAUCACGUCGUCCUCGGCGAUGACCCCGAAGUGAGGAGCGGGAAGCCGGAGCCGGACAUCUUCCUGGCCUGCGCCCGGAGGUUCUCUCCCGCUCCUCCCGCGGAGAAGAAAGAACUUUAUACGAUAUUGCCCACUGAAGAUGGAAUUCAGCAUGAAGACCAUCUUGGGCUCCAUCAAAGAGAUCACUGAAAAGCCAAAGGGCCUCUAGGAUGUCACACCUCAUGAUGUACAGAGGGCCGCAGUGCACUCUACAGAAUUGGGCUUGAAAAAUAAAGAAGGCGGACAGAGUUUCCUCUCUUCCCGGAAUCUUCUGGAAACCAUAGCCAUGGGCUAUUCCUGAAUGCCUCACAUCCUUUAAGCAAUGUUUAAUGGCCACCUGUUGCAUGAGGGCUCAUCAGGGGAAAGGACCAUUUCACGGCAACCUAGCACCCUGGCCCUAAACUUUGUUGUCCAGGCUAGUGGGGCUGGGCCAUGUGGAGAAUUUGUUUUGCCAGGACAGGAGGUCUCGAGGGCCUGGAAUCCAAGAAUUUCCAGGAGGUCCUUCUCCAUAUUCCUGCCAAGUCCGUGGCCACCACACUGCAAAAUGGCAGAGCGCAGGUUCAUAUUCUCGAUAGAGAUCCCAUACCUUUUUCAUUGUGCUGACUUUCUUUGCCAUGGUGGGGCUUUUUAUGGCCUGGCAGGGUAAGGGCCUCAGCAUUCUAGCCCCAGGUGAUGGAGAGUCUACCUGCCUUUGGUUCCUCGAAUCACUGACCUGGGAGCCCCAUCACGUGGGGCCCCAAGCAGAGGCCCCAGGUAGCCACCUCUGGGAUGUCAUAGCUUAGGUGCUGCUGAGAGUUUGUCAAUACUUGUAUCUCCCCUUGCCUUAAUGAUCAAUGUGUCCAAAGUCACAAACUCAAACCACAGCACAUGGAAAUAAUGACUUAUCCUAUGACUGCCAUAAACGCACUCCAGUGUCUCAAAUGUGUUCCAUCGAUCAUUCUUUAAGGUACAAAAGAUGUGUGUCAACAUAGAAACAGUCUCUAUUCUGGGGAAGAAACUCCAUGAAUGUGUGUACUGUUGAUUCUCAGUCAAAGAUGCCAUUUUCCUAUUUGUGGGGCAUCGAUGUUUUGCACCAAGCCCUCUCUUCUUAGAUAAUUGCAAUUGACACUUUGGCAUCUACAUUCUGAAGGCUUGAUGCUGAAGUUUCUACUGCCCUUCCACAAGGAGGACAGCCUGUGGUCCCCACAAUGAGAUCUGGUUCUUUCUGCUCAUUCGUGGAGUGACUUGGAGAGCAGGGAGCUGAUUUGCAGAAGGACCACUUGGUAGACAGGCUAUUCAAGAUUCUGACGACAUGUUGGUGGAUUCAUGCAUGGAUAUUCGAGCAGCCACCAAAUCAUUUCUGAGCUCUGUCUCCUGAGAGGAAGUCACAUAAACCAGGUAUGAUUUGUGCACUUUUCUUCGGUACGUCAUACAUCAACCAAAAGCUUAUUGACUUUUUGAUGCCACUUGAUCCAAGACACCCACAUCCUAGACUGAAGGAUUGGAUUUGAAUGAAACUCAUUUUCAUCGCAAGACAAAG